rnacentral:rRNA from 1 species
GUGGGGAAUUUUGGACAAUGGGCGAAAGCCUGAUCCAGCCAUGCCGCGUGUGUGAAGAAGGUCUUCGGAUUGUAAAGCACUUUAAGUUGGGAGGAAGGGCAGUAAGUUAAUACCUUGCUGUUUUGACGUUACCGACAGAAUAAGCACCGGCUAACUUCGUGCCAGCAGCCGCGGUAAUACGAAGGGUGCAAGCGUUAAUCGGAAUUACUGGGCGUAAAGCGCGCGUAGGUGGUUUUGUAAGUUGGAGGUGAAAUCCCCGGGCUCAACCUGGGAACUGCCUCCAAAACUGCAUGACUAGAGUACGGUAGAGUGUAGUGGAAUUUCCUGUGUAGCGGUGAAAUGCGUAGAUAUAGGAAGGAACACCAGUGGCGAAGGCGACUACCUGGACUGAUACUGACACUGAGGUGCGAAAGCGUGGGGAGCAAACAGGAUUAGAUACCCGUGUAGUCC